GGUCUUCGGAGGCUCUGAGUGCCGGUUACGUAACGGCGGCUCCGAGCGCCUGGGGUCCUCCCAGAGCUCCUGGGCUCGAGCUCUUUCCAUGAGCACCUCGGGCCUUCUCGUGGCUACCUCUGUGCUUCCCUGAGACCUGAUUUGUGAGCCCUUUUUGCUGGUUUUCGCCAGAGGUUUUUUACCAAAUCAAAAUUUCAACCAUUGACUAACACAGGGGUUGAAGGAAGAGGACGGGGAAGUUCAGUGAUGGAUGGGAACAACAGUCUUAGAUGAUAGGGAUAAUUAAGAGGGCAUAGUUGGGGACUUGUGGUUAUUUUGCACAGCUCUCUACUCUCAGUCCAAUGUUUGGAAAUGAGGAUGCUCCACGUGCUACCCUAAAGAACCAUUUAUAGGCAGGGUUUUGCUAUGUUGCUCAAGCUGGUCUCGAACUCAACUCAAAGCAUUGGGAUUACAGAGAGGAUAUUAACCAGAAGGUUACAUACUACAAUCUGGAAGGAAUAAUCUCAAUAUCAUGAGUGCCAAUUAAGUGCCUCAGAGAAUACAAAGGUGACCAUAACUGGAAUGCUUAACAAGUACCAACUGAAGAAAUGUAAUGAAAAUUAAAGUUUAAUUUGUUUUC